rnacentral:tmRNA from 1 species
GGGGGCGUACCGGUUUCGACGGGGGUAGUGAGGCCGGAAUAGCGGGUCGUGGCGCCUGACCACGAUAAAACGGGUAACUUUUAAAUUAACUGACAAUAAUCAGUACGCUUUCGCUGCUUAAUUAGCGGCCAUCCGGGCAGGAAGGACCACGAGCCUGCUGCGGGUGUGAUUUUAGUGGUGACCGUGCGUAUGCAAAGCUUUGCGCAUACCAUGCAUUAUGAAGCUACCGAAAUGCAGAGCGUGUUUGUCCGCGCUGCAUGGAGGGAAAUUUAAAAGAUAAACUGCACCCGGAGAGGUUCCCUCCAAGUUGCCUUCGGACAGGGGUUCGACUCCCCUCGCCUCCACCA